ncrna:unclassified sequences eL15-Euryarchaeota ribosomal protein leader
CGGGAUUAGGUCCCGUUGGAAUGUGGUCCUGUAGGGCAGGGCUGAACCAUGAA